GGAGAGGUGACCGAGAGGCCGAAGGUGCAUGAUUGGAAAUCAUGUGUACUGCAAGGUACCGGGGGUUCGAAUCCCCCCCUCUCCG
rfam:Desulfuromonas sp. DDH964, complete genome.